rnacentral:rRNA from 1 species
UGGGGAAUAUUGGACAAUGGGCGCAAGCCUGAUCCAGCCAUGCCGCGUGAGUGAUGAAGGCCUUAGGGUUGUAAAGCUCUUUCGCCGACGAAGAUAAUGACGGUAGUCGGAGAAGAAGCCCCGGCUAACUUCGUGCCAGCAGCCGCGGUAAUACGAAGGGGGCUAGCGUUGUUCGGAAUCACUGGGCGUAAAGCGCACGUAGGCGGAUUGUUAAGUCAGGGGUGAAAGCCUGGAGCUCAACUCCAGAACUGCCCUUGAUACUGGCAAUCUCGAGUCCGGAAGAGGUAAGUGGAACUGCGAGUGUAGAGGUGAAAUUCGUAGAUAUUCGCAAGAACACCAGUGGCGAAGGCGGCUUACUGGUCCGGUACUGACGCUGAGGUGCGAAAAGCGUGGGGAGCAAAACAGGAUUAGAUACCCUGGUAGUCCACGCCGUAAAACGAUGGAGGCUAGCCGUUGGCGAGCAUGCUCGUCAGUGGCGCAGCUAACGCAUUAAGCCUCCCGCCUGGGGAGUACGGUCGCAAGAUUAAAACUCAAAUGAAUUGACGGGGUCAUAGCUG